CUGGAACGGCUCUCCGCUCAAAUGCUCCGGCGCCUGAGGAUGGGCCUGCGACCGAUUAGGUUGUUGGCGGUGUAAUGGACCACCAAGCCUGAGAUCGGUACGGGCACUGAGAGGUGUAGCCCGGAGAUGGGGACUGAGACACGGCCCCAGGCCCUACGGGGCGCAGCAGGCGCGAAAACUCCGCAAUACACGAAAGUGUGACGGGGGAACCCCGAGUGCACUCACGCAAGUGAGUGCUUUUGUGAAGUGUAAAUAGCUUCACGAAUAAGAGCUGGGUAAGACCGGUGCCAGCCGCCGCGGUAACACCGGCAGCUCGAGUGGUGAUCACUAUUAUUGGGCCUAAAGCGUCCGUAGCCGGUUUGGUAGGUCCUUGGGCAAAUCCUGUCGCUUAACGGCAGGAAUUCUGAGGAUACUGUCAGACUUGAGGCCGAGAGAGGUCGGAGGUACUUCUGGGGUAGCGGUGAAAUGCUAUAAUCCUAGAGGGACCACCGGUGGCGAAGGCGUCCGACUAGAGCGGGCCUGACGGUAAGGGACGAAAGCCAGGGGAGCGAACGGGAUUAGAUACCCCGGUAGUCCUGGCCGUAAACGCUGUGGGCUAGGUGUUGCAUGCUCUACGAGGGCGUGCAGUGCCGAAGAGAAGUUGAUAAGCCUACCGCCUGGGAAGUACUAUCGCAAGAUAGAAACUUAAAGGAAUUGGCGGGGGAGCACCACAAGGGGUGAAGUCUAC
rnacentral:rRNA from 1 species